GAUGAACGCUAGCGGGAGGCCUAACACAUGCAAGCCGAGCGGUAUGGAUAGCUUGCUAUCCAGAGAGCGGCGUACGGGUGCGUAACACGUGUGCAACCUACCUUUAUCUGGGGGAUAGCCUUUCGAAAGGAAGAUUAAUACCCCAUAAUAUAAUGAUUGGCAUCAAUUAUUAUUGAAAACUCCGGUGGAUAGAGAUGGGCACGCGCAAGAUUAGCUAGUUGGUGAGGUAACGGCUCACCAAGUCAAUGAUCUUUAGGGGUCCUGAGAGGGAGAUCCCCCACACUGGUACUGAGACACGGACCAGACUCCUACGGGAGGCAGCAGUGAGGAAUAUUGGACAAUGGGUGAGAGCCUGAUCCAGCCAUCCCGCGGGAAGGAUGACGGUCCUAUGGAUUGUAAACUUCUUUUGUACAGGGAUAAACCUACCCUCGUGAGGUUAGCUGAAGGUACUGUACGAAUAAGCACCGGCUAACUCCGUG
rnacentral:rRNA from 1 species